CACCUCUGAGGAAUAAAACAUUAGUUGAUGCACAGAUUACCGCUCGUUUUUUUAACACGCUUUAAUUUGAUUAGUACGUAUGUCAUUGAAUUUUUGAACGCGAUUUUUAAUCCCUUCACGAUGUGGUACUGAUUUGAAACUUGACUCACUUAUCAAGGGCCAAUGGCAAUACAAUAAUUGCCUGAUUAUCCUUAUCAGGAUCUUCAGGAUUAACGCUGAAAACACGGUAGUGUCUUGUGAUACGUAAUAAGCCGGGGGACGUUGCGACCUGCAAGCGCCGGCAAUUACCUGCCUGCCUCAACCACGCUCUGUGACAUCUGGAAAAGGAAUGUAUCCCCAGCACAUUAAUCACCCGUAAAUCGCUUAAGUUGACGUAAUAGUACUGAUGCAGGUGUAGAGAUUUUUGUUUUUCAUAAUUUAUUCAUUGAACGGAAAAUUUAGGUAUAACCAAAACAACUUUUUACGUCUUCAUCAAUAGUAAACAAAAUAGCAUACCAUCAGCUAACGAGCUAGGCAGUUUUUUCAAUCGAUUUUAAAUUUUAUUAUCGAUUUCAGGUCGAUGGUAUUUUAAGGUUUAAGGAUCAAAUAAUGAAAUGCCCUUUUAACAUUUGUCACUCUGAAGCCUGCCUUAAUAUCCACAGUACUAAAUUUGAACCAGUAGUAGCCAAUAAUAUCGCUUUAAAAUGGACAGAUUCAGUUUUUGAUUUUUAUCAUUCUGCAUUUUGGUAGUUCGUGAUUGGUCAAAUUCCUAUGCUCUAAUCGUGAUUUUCAUUGCAUUCUACAUAGAAGGAUAGGUCGUGCGGAAUUCCGUAGUUGACCGAACAUGUAGAAUGCAUGUAGUAUUCAGAGUUCUGGCACAAUGCUGAGGCCUGAUGUUGGGCGCAUCGAAGCGCGCGGUGCUCAAUAAAACGGUAUUGCCGACGUCGCAUCCCAACCCUCGAGUUUCCCAAAUUCCACGACGAGUGCAUACAUUUUUCACAUGUCUGUAUCGACGUCACACUGUAGUAAAUGCACGUGUCUGAGCUAUCUCUAAAUUUUUAGCGCAGCUUCCUUGAAUUUAUUGUGAUAUCAUUUUAAUGCCCUUCACAAGAUCGUGUUACAUUGUCUGCUUCAAAGAUUCUUUUAACAAGAAAGCUAAUAUAAGAAGCUUAAUGUACGUGUAUAGACUUUUUUCAAUAAGGAUGUUAUUUGUUUCGAUUGUAUAACUCUUAAAUUCUUGUUAUUGUGAUCAAUAAAAAAAUAAUAUGCAUUUAUUGAUUUCAUGUCAUUCACGAAAA